rnacentral:rRNA from 1 species
UUAGCGGCGGACGGGUGAGUAACACGUGGAUAACCUACCUAUAAGACUGGGGUAACUUCGGGAAACCGGAGCUAAUACCGGAUAAUAUUUUGAACCGCAUGGUUCAAAAGUGAAAGACGGUCUUGCUGUCACUUAUAGAUGGAUCCGCGCUGCAUUAGCUAGUUGGUAAGGUAACGGCUUACCAAGGCAACGAUGCAUAGCCGACCUGAGAGGGUGAUCGGCCACACUGGAACUGAGACACGGUCCAGACUCCUACGGGAGGCAGCAGUAGGGAAUCUUCCGCAAUGGGCGAAAGCCUGACGGAGCAACGCCGCGUGAGUGAUGAAGGUCUUCGGAUCGUAAAACUCUGUUAUUAGGGAAGAACAUAUGUGUAAGUAACUGUGCACAUCUUGACGGUACCUAAUCAGAAAGCCACGGCUAACUACGUGCCAGCAGCCGCGGUAAUACGUAGGUGGCAAGCGUUAUCCGGAAUUAUUGGGCGUAAAGCGCGCGUAGGCGGUUUUUUAAGUCUGAUGUGAAAGCCCACGGCUCAACCGUGGAGGGUCAUUGGAAACUGGAAAACUUGAGUGCAGAAGAGGAAAGUGGACUUCCAUGUGUAGCGGUGAAAUGCGCAGAGAUAUGGAGGAACACCAGUGGCGAAGGCGACUUUCUGGUCUGU